UAAAAGAUAAGCUAAUUAUAAGCUCCUGGGUUCAUACCCCAUUUAUAAAGGUAACUCCUUUUCUUUUAA
rnacentral:tRNA from 1 species